rnacentral:rRNA from 1 species
GACGUAGGGGGCCAGCGUUGUUCGGAAUUACUGGGUGUAAAGGGUUCGUAGGCGGUGUGGUAAGUCGGGAGUGAAAUUUCUGGGCUCAACUCAGAGACUGCUUCCGAAACUGCUGUGCUUGAGUGUGGGAGAGGCGCGUGGAAUUGCAGGUGUAGCGGUGAAAUGCGUAGAUAUCUGCAGGAACACCCGUGGCGAAAGCGGCGCGCUGGACCACUACUGACGCUGAGGAACGAAAGCUAGGGGAGCAAACAGG